rnacentral:lncRNA from 1 species
AUUUUAUUAGUGUCUGUGGUGAUACUUACUUUCUCAUUAUAAAUUUUAAUAAUUUGGGUUCUUUUUUUUCCCUCUUCGGUUAAUUAGGCUAAGGAUUUAGCGAUUUUAUUUAUUUUUUCAAAGAGGUUCUGGAGCAUUUGUAAGUAUGGAUUUUAAAAUAAUUAACCAAAUGAGAGGUUUGGAAAAAUUAAAGCUAAUUUUAGAUAGCCAUGAAAACCAAGCAGAAGUAAAGAGUAAGAACUCAAAAGUUUUAAGAUAAUACAGGCAUCCAGGUGUAAAAGUAGAGUCAUCUACUAUUUCUGUGUAGUCCUCUGCAUGUGAUCAUAUCUUUGAAAUAUUGGAUUUCUUCAGCUGUAAGGUGGAGGAUAAUGAAACCCUCUUCCAAUUAUUGUGUAGAAGGGAAAUGAUAUAUGUAAAUUAUUGGAACAGAGCCUAGGAAGAUACUAGGAAGUGAGUGAUAGCAUUAUUGUUAGGGAGAAAUAAUAAUAAAAAAUUUCAUUUGUUUUCAGUAUAUUUCUGUUGUAAAAAAUGAUUCAUUCAUACUUAAACAUAUGAUUUAAAUAUUACAUUUUUCCACAUGUUAAUUUGCUUUAUUAUGGUAACCAUUUUAUUAUCUCAGUGUAUUGCAUAACAUAUUGUAAACCUCAAAUAUAUCC